AGUAACACGUGGAUAAUCUGCCCUGCACAGGGGGACAACAGCUAGAAAUGGCUGCUAAUACCGCAUAAGCCUACAGCCUCGCAUGAGGGAGUAGGAAAAGAAAUUCGGUGCAGGAUGAGUCCGCGUCUGAUUAGCUAGUUGGAGGGGUAAAAGCCCACCAAGGCAACGAUCAGUAGCCGGCCUGAGAGGGCGACCGGCCACAUUGGGACUGAGACACGGCCCAAACUCCUACGGAAGGCAGCAG
rnacentral:rRNA from 1 species